rnacentral:lncRNA from 1 species
AACAUAUUUCCCCCUUGUACACAGUUAGGUUUUUAUCCUUAAAGGAAAUUGUGUUGUAAAGUAAGAAGGAUAUUUUAAUUUUAUCCUUUAAGAUAAUUCUUAACAAAUGCAGGCAGGAUUUUGACAGUUUAUUUAUAAGGAAAUAACAAUACAUGUCCUUCGAAAGGUGUACAUAAUUGCAGUCCCCUAGUUUGUAAACUUGCAAAGUAUUUGAAAAUCCUUGGUCAUUUAACCAACUGUGAAUGUGGACAUUCCACUAAAAAGACUAGUUGGCAGCAUCUUGUUAGAGAUUUACCUGCCUGACUGCAUUUCUGACCAAGAAUACAUGGAAGUUGUCUGUAAGCUCCUGAAUAGUUUAGGACAACCUCCAGUGCAAAAGCAGUGGUGUCCAUCUUUGUUGAACUUCCAUCAGAUUCCAGAUAAAGAAAUUGCUUAGUGCUGCUUCAGAGAGAAGUAGCACUAACAUGUUCCAACGAUCUUACGGGGAAGUAAUUAGAAGAAUUAGUCAUGUCUUGUGUUAAUUACACAUAUUGAUCACUACUGCAUGUCUGCAUCACACACUUAGAUGUUGUUGCCUAUUUGGACAGGCACACAUGUCCAUAAUGGUGUGUUGUCUAGUCUUCAGUUUGAAACUUGGGUUAAGACUGAAACAAAAGAGGGAAAGUAUAGCUGCUUAAGCAUCUAUUGUUUGGACAAAUAGGCAGCAACUUGUUAGAGAUUUACCUGUCCGGCUGCAUAUAUGACCAAGAAUAGAUGGCUGUGGUUGUUAAACUCCAGAAUAGUUUAGGAUAACCUCGAGUGCAGAUUCAGCAGUCCAAGGACUUCCCUCACAUUUCCCCGUAUUUAGCGUUUCUCUAGGCUUGUCUGCCUGUACAAAAGCAGAUGGGGUCACUUUAUUGAGCUUCCACUAGAUCUCAGACAAGGAAAUUGGUUAUCGAUGCUUCAGCUUCAUGGAGAAGCAGGAAUAACAUAUUCUUUUCUUGUGGGGAAGGAAUAACAUGUUCUAACGAUCUUGCAUGGAAAAACACUGCGUGAAUUGCAACAAUUAGCGGCGUAAAACAUCUACUGUGUUAGUUUACACGCAUCGAUCAUCACUGCAUCACGUACUUAGACGCGCAGCUGCAUAUUUGAGCCUUGUUUCCUUGGAUAAAGCAUCUCUCUUCUACACAACCCGAACACGGGGGAUUGAUUCGGAAAAUACUUUUAACUGAAAGGGGGUUUUCCUGUCUUCCGUAACUGGACCUCCUUCUUAAUUUUUAACCUUUCGAUUUCUAUGUUUUGAGGAUAGUAGACUGGCAGAGAUGGACUAGUUUAUCACUCCAGCAUACGUGCCACAUGUGGCAUGGCGUGCUGCCUGGUGUUCAGUUUAGAAACUUGGCAAAGACUUGAAAAGAAAAAGGGGGGAAACGUAUCUGCGUAGUCGCUUACGCAUCUCUGAUGUCUGGACAAUUCCAGGGGAGCUAGAAACUAAUGGCGCCGGGAUACUGCUAUGUCUGUGGUCAGUGGACGAUGGACGAGGCGGUCCGUUCCACGGGCCGUGGCAGACGGUCGGGCCACGGCGGCGCCAGAAACAGGCAAGAUCACGGAGCCAGCCAGCCAACAGAUCGACCAACAAACCGACGAGCGCAAAACCAACGGCGCUUCCGUGCGCGCGACAGAUCCGCCGCGAAGCGAGGGGCGGCGGACCGUGGCGGUAACCAGUAAGGACUAAGGUCAACCGAGCCGGACAAGAACCGCCGAGAUCGGUCGUUGCCACCAACCUCGCGCGGGAUCCGGGCCGCCUGGAGCCGGAGCCGCCGCCACCGCUCCGACAACAGCCAUGGGCUCGCGGCGGUCAGGCGCUCCCUCUUCCUUUCCCCAUCCCGGCCCUGGCCAGCUUUGGAGCUUUCCCGGGUCGUUUUCCGGGCGGAUCUCCCCGUGCCGGCGCCGAUCGGGAACCGGAUCCUAACCGCCCCGGCGUGUGGAUGACGGGAGCUCGGAUUCGCGCGCCGCACGCACGUACGGGGGCAGUGACAAAGAUGGCACGCACGCACGCGAGGACGGACGUCGCGCUGGUGGUGGCCGUGCCACGACGGGGUGGGGUGGGGG